AAGGAAAGUAAUGCUUAAUCAAGCCGAUGUUAUACUGCGGAGCAGAGCCAUGUAAACAGUGAAAUAAUAGCAAAAUAAUCUUGAAUACAACACGGUUUUUCUACAUUCAUUACAUUGAUUCUGUAACUCCACAGCAGCUGCUUCAACCGGGUUGCCGCAAAAGAAUGUUAGUGUAACAGGUCAGAAUUGAACUGUUUUAUAGUGAAAAAUAGCUAUCUAUUUCUAAUCAAUAUCUCCUCAGGAAGAAAGUAAGAAGUUUAUAUGUUUACAAACUUUGUACUUCAAAGAAGUAUGACUCACACCUAUUCUGAGUAGAAGCUAUCAGUAUGUUAUUUGUUAUAUUGCUUGUAAUCUUUAGAAGUUUUAGUUAUAUAAUGUGUUGUUGAGAUUAACUCUGGAUAAUUGUCUUUUGCAAGACAGUUGUAAUUAAAAGUAAUGUUUUUUAAGAGUUAACAGUUAGUGGAUAUAGUCUGAAUCUUCUUCAGUUUUCUCUUGUAUAUCUAUAGAGUAAUAAUUCACAAUGAUUUGUAUUAAUUAUUAUUCCUUUAGGUAUUGACAAUCAAGAUGUAAGAAGCGGGUACAAUGAGAGGAAACAGUCCUCUAGGCCAGAUUGCCAGGGCUUUAGCUUUGGCUUUAGCUUACUUUAGCUUUGUUCACUUUGCACCUGAAAUAAAAAGAACCGCAACACAA